UAUUAGGUUGGUGCAAAAGUAAUUGCAGUUUUGCCAUUAAAAGUAAUGGUGAGAAUUGCAAUUACUUCUGCACCAACCUAAUAAUUA
rnacentral:miRNA from 1 species